rnacentral:tRNA from 1 species
GGAGAGGUGCUAGAGUGGUUGAAUAGGACGCUCUCGAAAAGCGUUGUGCCUUCACGGGCACCGCGGGUUCGAAUCCCGCCCUCUCCGCCA